rnacentral:pre_miRNA from 1 species
UCCGGCUCCGUCCACCCAGUGUUCAGACUACCUGUUCAUUGUCAUACUGGUGUACAGUAGUCUGCACAUUGGUUAGACUGGGCCGGGCU